CCUCAGAAACCCUGAGACAAAGUCAGAAAGAUCUGGAAAGACCUGCCAGAGGAAAUCUGCCACCCCUCUGGACAAGGAGCCUUCAUCUACAUAAAAGUGGGCUGUCACCAUGCAGCGAGGCUGCCUAACAUGAUGAGGCAAAUUCUGAAAUGAGGGAAGGAAGCCUGAGAUUUGAGCCCCAGCCCUGCCACUUACUACCUGUAAGCCCAGGCCCGGGUGGUGUGGGACCCCCUCCGGAGAGGUGUAUGCACCUCCCUAGAGCUUACCCAGCCGGGUGCCUGUUCCUUGAUGAGAAUCCACAUGGUGUUGACCUCAGGCUUCUUCAUGGUUCACUCUGUGGCUGGUGGCAUUGGAUCUGCAUCAAGGUGGUCUCGAGGAUGGUCUUCUGAAGGAACUUAGGUGUCUUGGGUCCUGGAAGAUGGGUGACACACGGAUCUAUUUUUUUCCUAUGGUUAUAGACCCUUUCAGCACAACCUUUGUGGCCUUCAGAGCUUUUGUCUUGGUUUCAGUUUUGGGAAGGGCUGGGGCUUCCUUCUUGCUUUCAGCACCAUAUUUGCAGAAGGGAGUGUCUAUCUGACGGCCUGGUGUAGCAGUGCCAUCAGGAGCUGGUCUUCAGUGGAGAAAAUGUACUG
rnacentral:lncRNA from 1 species